rnacentral:rRNA from 1 species
AUUGAACGCUGGCGGCAUGCCUUACACAUGCAAGUCGAACGGCAGCACGGGUGCUUGCCCCUGGUGGCGAGUGGCGAACGGGUGAGUAAUACAUCGGAACAUGUCCUGUAGUGGGGGAUAGCCCGGCGAAAGCCGGAUUAAUACCGCAUACGAUCUACAGAUGAAAGCGGGGGACCUUCGGGCCUCGCGCUAUAGGGUUGGCCGAUGGCUGAUUAGCUAGUUGGUGGGGUAAAGGCCUACCAAGGCGACGAUCAGUAGCUGGUCUGAGAGGACGACCAGCCACACUGGGACUGAGACACGGCCCAGACUCCUACGGGAGGCAGCAGUGGGGAAUUUUGGACAAUGGGCGAAAGCCUGAUCCAGCAAUGCCGCGUGUGUGAAGAAGGCCUUCGGGUUGUAAAGCACUUUUGUCCGGAAAGAAAUCCUUGGCCCUAAUACGGUCGGGGGAUGACGGUACCGGAAGAAUAAGCACCGGCUAACUACGUG